AUUGGUCGAUGUCCGUCAUUGCGUUAGAACAAAUGAUUUGAUUGGUUUAAGGCUCUUGCAGUCGGAUAAGAUUGGUGUUUGUCUAAAAAUGCCGGGCCGAAGUAAUAUUUGUUUAUUUCUUACGGAAAACAAACUUGACAAGGCUGAUGUUAUACAUGAACAUAUGAAUAAAGUCAAAGUAAAUAUGCAAAACCAAAUUCCUCAUUUGUCAUCAUCAACUUUACUGACAAUAGCUAUCCCACUUUAAUCAAAGCGAUACCAUCGAAGUAGCCUCCCCUGGCUAAUUUGCAUAAACUUGUUUACAAAUGGCGACCAAGUAACAAGAACAUUUUUAAGGGACUGAUGUAGAUACAGAAUAAAAGCAGAAUGUCUCUUAGGACAAA
rnacentral:lncRNA from 1 species